AGAGUUUGAUCAUGGCUCAGGAUGAACGCUGGGCGGCGUGCUAACACAUGCAAGUCGAACGAGAACCCAUUCUUCGGAUUGGGGGACAGUGGCGAACGGGUGAGUAACACGUUGGUGACGUGCCCCGAAGUGAGGGACAAUCCUGCGAAAGCGGGGCUAAUACCGCAUGUGCUCCAGGGGGUUAGAGGCCCCUGGAGUAAAGCUCCGGCGCUUCGGGAGGGACCUGCGGCCUAUCAGCUAGUUGGUGAGGUAACGGCUCACCAAGGCUAAGACGGGUAGGGGGCGUGAGAGCGUGGCCCCCCACAAUGGAACUGAGACACGGUCCAUACUCCUACGGGAGGCAGCAGUGAGGAAUAUUGCGCAAUGGGGGAAACCCUGACGCAGCAACGCCGCGUGGGUGAUGAAGGCCUUCGGGUCGUAAAACCCUUUUCUGGGGGAAGAGAAAGGACGGUACCUCAGGAAUAAGUCCCGGCUAACUACGUGCCAGCAGCCGCGGUAAAACGUAGGGGGCGAGCGUUAUCCGGAUUUACUGGGCGUAAAGCGCGUGCAGGCGGCUUGGUAGGUUGGACGUGAAAGCUCUUGGCUCAACUGAGAGAGGUCGUUCAAUACCGCCAAGCUUGAGGGCGGAAGAGGGGAGCGGAAUUCCCGGUGUAGUGGUGGAAUGCGUAGAUAUCGGGAGGAACACCCGUGGCGAAGGCGGCUCCCUGGUCCGCACCUGACGCUGAGACGCGAAAGCGUGGGUAGCAAACGGGAUUAGAUACCCCGGUAGUCCACGCCGUAAACGAUGGAUGCUAGGUGUAGGUGGUAUUGACCCCAUCUGUGCCGUAGCUAACGCGUUAAGCAUCCCGCCUGGGGACUACGGCCGCAAGGUUAAAACUCAAAUGAAUUGACGG
rnacentral:rRNA from 1 species